rnacentral:rRNA from 1 species
UACGUAGGGGGCAAGCGCUAUCCGGAAUUACUGGGUGUAAAGGGAGCGUAGACGGUAAUGUAAGUCUGGAGUGAAAGGCGGGGGCCCAACCCCCGGACUGCUCUGGAAACUAUGUUACUAGAGUGCAGGAGAGGUAAGCGGAAUUCCUAGUGUAGCGGUGAAAUGCGUAGAUAUUAGGAGGAACACCAGUGGCGAAGGCGGCUUACUGGACUGUAACUGACGUUGAGGCUCGAAAGCGUGGGGAGCAAACAGG